AGUGAAGAUGCCUAGGCCCAAUAUUAAAGGGACACUCCACUGUCCAAGUAUAAACAAAAAAUAUAAGUUAAUUAAUAAUCAAAAACACUGUUUAGGAAAUAUACCAAAUAAAAACAUGCAUGCAUUUAAUUAUGCAUUUUUUCUCAUUGGUGGUUACAUUUAAAAUCAGCUUUCAAAAGCUGCAGAUCUCUUGUCUGCAGCCUUUGUAAGCCAUCCCCUUCUAAACCAGACUUUUUGUGGCUGUCCAAUCAGACUUCAAUAAGCUCAAUAAAAUGUCUUUGCGAGGCAGGUGCUCUGGGCAAUUGCUCCCUUCUAAGUUUAGCUUCACUGAGCUAAACAAACCAGGAAGUUAAAGGGCCUCUUGUCUGAUUGACAACCAGGGUGGUUUAUUUAUUCCAUUGAAAUCUGCACUAUUUGUAAAAUGGAAAGAGAGGAUACACACUUUGCAGAUAGAGCGUUUCAGCAAACUAAGGUGCUAUAGAGGUCUGGAGUGUUUCUUCACCCUAUAUGCAUUAGGUUCCAGUUUAAUACAGCUAGUGUUUUUGAGUGUUCCCUGCCUGAGGCUACAUCUACAAAUAUGUGCCAGUCCAUUACAUAGCAUUGCUGGCUCUAUUAGUAACCCUAUAGUUUUAAAAUGUAUUGUUAAUCCCCUUGGCACCAUCAGCAUCUGUCACACCCUAAAUCAAGUUGGGCUACACUUUGAAAGGAUUACUCAUUCUUAGCGAGAAGAUGUAGGGGAUAUAUAUGGCUUGAUUAACAUUCUUGAACUUGGUAAGUAUGAGACUCAGCACCAAUGGAAGUGGUCCUACUUGUAACUAUUCAUAUGCCUCUAAGAUUUUAAUAAUGAUGAUUUUAUUCUUGAUUCAAUUUAAGUUAAUUCCUGAUAUGUGCCUUUCCUUAAACUAAUUUCACUUAUAACUGCUUUUUAGUACCGAAGGUAUUGUAUCCAUCAUUAACAAUAAUUUACAAUUCAUUUAGUGAUCUGUUAAGAAGGAAUGGAAAGCUAAAAUCUUAAUUCUGUUUAUAACAGUGUGUUACCUUUAACAUUCUCAACUGGAUGACGCUAAUCUCAUUACAGUUUAAUUGUCUCCAUUUCUGAAAUGCUUGCAACAGGGUUGAACUGAUUGCAUCAAACUGUUGAUAAAUUCCAGGUUAUUUUAAAAAUUUUAUAUUUUGCAUUUGCAUGAUCAUAAUAGAAGUUCAGUUAAGUUGUAUUCUUAACCUUCUGCUUAUAAUUAUUGCUUGAACAAACCUUAAAAAAGAACAGUACGAAACAAACACUAUAUACAGUAUAACCUAACAAGCACUAUAACCUAUACACUUUGGUCAGUUUAUAUUACCUAUGCUCUCAAAUGUUCUAAUCUCAUUAAUGAUAUAAACAUAGAGAGCUGAGGAACUGUUAAAGGUUUCAUAACUACUUCAUAUCGUUUAAGUGGUUUUGAUGCCUGGGGUCGCCUUGUGCCAUCGAACUGUUAAAUGUAAAGCUGUUUUUUAUUGAUUUCAUUCUGAUUUGAUUUGGCCCCUACUCAAGACCAGCAAUUUGAGGCAGUGACCGCCUCAGUAUGUCUAAUAUGAGUAUAAUUUCUGCCUUAGGUACACUGUCCAGAGGCUGGUGGACCCAUGGUAGACUGGAACCCUCAUUCAGGGUCAAACUGAUCGAAAACAGUUUAGCAUUGAACAGUAAAAUGGCGCCAGUGGACUUCAUGCUUCAUCACCACUACAAUGAGAUGAAGUGGUUAUGGUGCCUAGAGUGCCUCUUUAGAUGACAAUAUUUUGUAUAAUUUAUUUAUGAUGCAUGUUCAUAUAGCUAAUAGCUAACUGUUAUACAAUAGCUUAGGCAUUGCAUUCUGGGAAAUCCGUAACGCAGGUGUGACCAAACUGUAGUUCUUCCGCUAGGAACUUCCAUCACUGUUUCUAGUGGUUAUUCAAUAAAAGCACAAACAUUCCAUGUUGGAGAUAAUCCUGAACUAGGACUCUGUGUAGAGCAACAGACUGGCCACAGCUGGGGGAAAAAAAACAUUGUUUCUCUUGUUGUUGUAAUGCUAACUUGGUUUCUGGGUUAUUUGAAAAUAGAAUCGAGCUUCGUUCCCUUGGAAAGAUCAAUAAAGGAGAUGAGCUCAGUGUGUCCUACAUCGAUUUCCUAAAUCUCACCGAAGACAGACAGAAACAGCUAAAGAAACAAUAUUACUUUGACUGCACAUGCGAACACUGUACCAAAAAGAUCAAGGAUGACUUGCUCUUGGCAGUGACUGAAGGCGACCAAAAGGUAACCACAUAAGUACUACUUUAACACACAAUUGCUGUUUUAUAAUAAUGACUUUUUAUUGUUAUUAUUCAUAUUUUGAUUUAGAUAACAGCCCAUUAAAAAAUUGACAUUUGUACCAUGCGAUAUUGUGUGUUUCGCUUUUCGGACUCCAG
rnacentral:lncRNA from 1 species